rnacentral:tRNA from 2 species
GACGCAGUGGCACAGAGGCUACUGCGCUGCACUCGAAAUGCAGUUCCUUCGGGAGCGUGAGUUCGAGUCUCACCUGCGUCU